AUCCUGUGUGUCUCAUUCAACAGGUGUCACAGAACAAGGAAGGAGGUGGGAGCUGGUAGACCUGAGGGGACCAAGGACUCAAACUGAAGGUUAAAUGCUGUAAGAUGGGAGCAGAAAUUUAUAUGCCUGGCAGACAAAAAGGGAUAACAUCUACAGGGAAAAGCUGGAGGCAGUUCUCCCUGGGAACCAGGUCAGAGUUCCUGCUAAAGUGACUUUGGCCUCUGUAGCUCUGGUGGCCUUGAACUAUACAGCACACUUCCAUACACAACGUCUGUUUAUCUAGAGCAGUCCUGAUUCUUGAUCAAGAAAAAUACCCAGGUUCUUGGGCUUCACCUUUCUUCUUCUGCCUUCUCUUCCUCCAUCUUUCCAGAAAAGAAGAGGCUUCACCAAAAGCAUUAUCCCUCAUCCCUCCAUCCCAACCACCUGGAGAGUCUCAUCAUGAUAUAAGUAAUAUCCACUGUGCUGCUUAGUAUUCAUUCAGAGACAUUUAUUGGAAGGAAGAGUGUUCCAAGAAGAUGGAACAGCACGUGUGAGGACCAUGAAGAAGGGGAGGCUGGCCUUCUAACAGAAGAUCCUAGUUCAUAAGGAGGAAAACCACUUCAUUCAUUUGUUCAGCAUAUGUUAAAUAAUUUCCACGUACCUGAAACUGUGCCAAGUACUGAAAAUUAAGGACAGAAAAACCUCAUGAACCUCUAGACACUCACAGUCUCGUGAGGAAACAGAUGAGCCCACACACCAUUACAGUGCAGUGUGGUCGUUUCUGUGCUGGAGGUGUCAUCUGCAGG